rnacentral:lncRNA from 1 species
CACAAUGUCACUUUCCAGCAUUGGUGGACUCACAUGCCUCUUUGUAUGAAGUUGGCUCAUCCUCCUCCGCCAAAGUAACAUAAGCAUAAACAUGGUUAGCAGAAGGAAUGAAAAAAGUGACAUAGUCAUUAUAUCUAGCAGAAGAUCUAAUGACCCUCCUAGGUCGCUCAGACUAUGUUGGUGGCUCUUCCAGUGAGAUAGCAUCCUCAGG